rnacentral:rRNA from 1 species
UAUCAGUAAGCGGAGGAAAAGAAAUAACAAGGAAUCCCUCAGUAACGGCGAGUGAAGCGGGAAUAGCCCAGCACUGAAUCCUUCCUGACAGGUUGUGUGGGAAGGAGCUGUAGUGUUAGGGACGGUCGACGUCGGUUUGCUGUUGGUCCGAGUCCCUUUGAUGGGGGCCCGUCCAUAGUGGGUGGAAGGCCUCUAGCGGCAACGGCAUACUGGCCUAGAUCGUCCUCAGAGUCGGAUUGUUUGGGAAUGCAGUCCAAAGUGGGUGGUAAGUUCCAUCUAAGGCUAAAUACUGGCACGAGUCCGAUAGCAAACAAGUACCGUGAGGGAAAGUUGAAAAGAACUUUGAAGAGAGAGUUCAAUAGUACGUGAAACCGUUUACAGGUAAACGGGUGGAAUCGCAAAGUCUCCGGUAGGAUUCAGUGCUUCCUGGACGACGCAUUCGGCGAGAACUAGCGUUCUCGUGGUCCCGUUGAGUGCAUGUCGGCCGGGAGGUGCGCCUUUUCUGCCGGGGAGCGCCACGACCGGCUGGGAUACGGUGAGAAGGCGGAUCGGAAGGUGCCCCCUCUUAUCUCUUCGGAGGUUUGGGGGGAGUUAUAGCCGGCUUGCAUAUCGCCCGUGUUCCGGCCGAGGAGAGUAAAUUUGACCGCACCCGCCCUCAGGCUCGCUCCGGCAGUCUCAGGUCGCGUUCUGACCGUUCGGUAACGCCUGGCGUUGCCGAGCAACCUGGCGUGGCUUUUUGGCAGUCGGCGGCGAGAAGGUGCCAUGGGUCAGUGGCGAGUGGUCGGUAGUCCACCCGACCCGUCUUGAAACACGGACCAAGGAGUCUAACAUGUGCGCAAGUCAAAGGGACUUUCGAAUCCCCCGGGCGCAGUGAAAGUGAAGGGACGGGGUAGUUCCCGUCCUCAGGUGCGAUCCCUCGUCUCCGACGGGGGCGCAGCACCGGCCCGUUCCAGCCUUAGCAGAGGGGGAGCGGAGCAAGAGCGUACACGUUGGGACCCGAAAGAUGGUGAACUAUGCUUGAGUAGGAUGAGGCCAGAGGAAACUCUGGUGGAAGUCCGUAGCGAUUCUGACGUGCAAAUCGAUCGUCAAACUUGAGUAUAGGGGCGAAAGACUAAUCGAACCAUCUAUAGCUGUUCCGU